ACCUGCCCCUCAUCUGCCUCCCAUCUGCCCCACACCUGCCCUCCCCCCACCCCACACCCGCCCCACACCCGCCCCCCAUCUGCCCCCCAGGCGGCAUCGCUCACGGCCCGCGCGGCCCCACAAGUUACUUCUACAUGCUGCCCAUGAAGGUGCGGCUGCUCGGCCUCAAGGUGGCGCUGACGGUCAAACUGAUGCAGGACGAGCUGCACGUGCUGGACUCCCUGCAGCUGCCCUCGGCUGCCGGCCGCUUCCUGCAGGACGUGGCCGCCUUCCGGCGCUGGGGGGGGUCUGCGCUCCUCGUGGAUCUGUGAGGACUUGGGGGGCAAAGGGGGGUGGGGGGGAAUCGGGGCUGGGGGGGCGUCUGCCCCAUAGCGCGACCUCUGUGCUGCCCCACGGAUGUGUGGGGCACGGCGUCCCCAUGGGUGCCAAUGGGACGCAGCUGGGACCCCCAUCCCACAGCUGCUGCCCCAUAGGGACACUGAUGGCACCUGGGACCCCCAACCUCUGCCCCACUGUCACCUUCGUGCAGCCCCAUAGAUGUGUGGGGCACAACAUCCCCAUGGGUGACAGUGCCCCACAACUGAGACCCCCACCCCACAGCUGCCACCCCAUAGGGACACCGAUGGCACCUGGGACCCCCAACCUCUGCCCCAUUGUCACAUCCUGCCCCACUGUCACCCCACACAUCCAUAUCGUCACCCCACGCUGCCCCAUAGAUGUGUGGGUCCUGUUGUCCCCAUGGCUGCCAAU
rnacentral:lncRNA from 1 species